UAGGGAAUCUUCCGCAAUGGACGAAAGUCUGACGGAGCAACGCCGCGUGAGUGAAGAAGGAUUUCGGUUCGUAAAACUCUGUUGUUAGGGAAGAAAAAAUGUAUAGUAACUAUAUACAAAAGAGACGGUACCUAACCAGAAAGCCACGGCUAACUACGUGCCAGCAGCCGCGGUAAUACGUAGGUGGCAAGCGUUGUCCGGAAUUAUUGGGCGUAAAGCGCGCGCAGGUGGUUUAGAAAGUCUGAUGUGAAAGCCCCCGGCUCAACCGUGGAGGGUCAUUGGAAACUAAUAAACUUGAGUGCAGGAGAGAAAAGUGGAAUUCCUAGUGUAGCGGUGAAAUGCGUAGAGAUUAGGAGGAACACCGGUGGCGAAAGCGGCUUUUUGGCCUGCAACUGACACUGAGGAGCGAAAGCGUGGGGAGCAAACAGG
rnacentral:rRNA from 1 species